rnacentral:sRNA from 1 species
GCUGGGCAUGGUGGUGCACGCCUGUAAUCCCAGCAUCUCGGGAGGCUGUGGCAGGGGGAUCACAAGUUCAAAGCCAGCCUCAGCAAAAGUGAGGUACUAAACAAAUCAGUGAACCCUGUCUCUA